rnacentral:rRNA from 1 species
UACGUAGGGUGCAAGCGUUAAUCGGAAUUACUGGGCGUAAAGCGUGCGCAGGCGGUUGUGCAAGACAGAUGUGAAAGCCCCGGGCUUAACCUGGGAAUUGCGGUUGAAACUACAGGGCUAGAAUCUGGCAGAGGGGGGUGGAAUUCCACGUGUAGCAGUGAAAUGCGUAGAGAUGUGGAGGAACACCGAUGGCGAAGGCAGCCCCCUGGGCUGAGAUUGACGCUCAGGCACGAAAGCGUGGGGAGCAAACAGG